rnacentral:tRNA from 1 species
GCCCGCGUAGCUCAGGUGGUAGAGCACUUCCAUGGUAAGGAAGGGGUCAUCAGUUCGAAUCUGAUCGUGGGCUCCA